ACUAUCAUUAACUGAAUCCAUAGGUUAAUGAGGCGAACCGGGGGAACUGAAACAUCUAAGUACCCCGAGGAAAAGAAAUCAACCGAGAUUCCCCCAGUAGCGGCGAGCGAACGGGGAGCAGCCCAGAGCCUGAAUCAGUGUGUGUGUUAGUGGAAGCGUCUGGAAAGGCGCGCGAUACAGGGUGACAGCCCCGUACACAAAAAUGCACAUGCUGUGAGCUCGAUGAGUAGGGCGGGACACGUGGUAUCCUGUCUGAAUAUGGGGGGACCAUCCUCCAAGGCUAAAUACUCCUGACUGACCGAUAGUGAACCAGUACCGUGAGGGAAAGGCGAAAAGAACCCCGGCGAGGGGAGUGAAAAAGAACCUGAAACCGUGUACGUACAAGCAGUGGGAGCACAGAGCAAUCUGUGUGACUGCGUACCUUUUGUAUAAUGGGUCAGCGACUUAUAUUCUGUAGCAAGGUUAACCGAAUAGGGGAGCCGAAGGGAAACCGAGUCUUAACUGGGCGUUAAGUUGCAGGGUAUAGACCCGAAACCCGGUGAUCUAGCCAUGGGCAGGUUGAAGGUUGGGUAACACUAACUGGAGGACCGAACCGACUAAUGUUGAAAAAUUAGCGGAUGACUUGUGGCUGGGGGUGAAAGGCCAAUCAAACCGGGAGAUAGCUGGUUCUCCCCGAAAGCUAUUUAGGUAGCGCCUCGUGAAUUCAUCUCCGGGGGUAGAGCACUGUUUCGGCAAGGGGGUCAUCCCGACUUACCAACCCGAUGCAAACUGCGAAUACCGGAGAAUGUUAUCACGGGAGACACACGGCGGGUGCUAACGUCCGUCGUGAAGAGGGAAACAACCCAGACCGCCAGCUAAGGUCCCAAAGUCAUGGUUAAGUGGGAAACGAUGUGGGAAGGCCCAGACAGCCAGGAUGUUGGCUUAGAAGCAGCCAUCAUUUAAAGAAAGCGUAAUAGCUCACUGGUCGAGUCGGCCUGCGCGGAAGAUGUAACGGGGCUAAACCAUGCACCGAAGCUGCGGCAGCGACGCUGAUGCGUUGUUGGGUAGGGGAGCGUUCUGUAAGCCUGCGAAGGUGUGCUGUGAGGCAUGCUGGAGGUAUCAGAAGUGCGAAUGCUGACAUAAGUAACGAUAAAGCGGGUGAAAAGCCCGCUCGCCGGAAGACCAAGGGUUCCUGUCCAACGUUAAUCGGGGCAGGGUGAGUCGACCCCUAAGGCGAGGCCGAAAGGCGUAGUCGAUGGGAAACAGGUUAAUAUUCCUGUACUUGGUGUUACUGCGAAGGGGGGACGGAGAAGGCUAUGUUGGCCGGGCGACGGUUGUCCCGGUUUAAGCGUGUAGGCUGGUUUUCCAGGCAAAUCCGGAAAAUCAAGGCUGAGGCGUGAUGACGAGGCACUACGGUGCUGAAGCAACAAAUGCCCUGCUUCCAGGAAAAGCCUCUAAGCAUCAGGUAACAUCAAAUCGUACCCCAAACCGACACAGGUGGUCAGGUAGAGAAUACCAAGGCGCUUGAGAGAACUCGGGUGAAGGAACUAGGCAAAAUGGUGCCGUAACUUCGGGAGAAGGCACGCUGAUAUGUAGGUGAAGCGACUUGCUCGUGGAGCUGAAAUCAGUCGAAGAUACCAGCUGGCUGCAACUGUUUAUUAAAAACACAGCACUGUGCAAACACGAAAGUGGACGUAUACGGUGUGACGCCUGCCCGGUGCCGGAAGGUUAAUUGAUGGGGUCAGCGCAAGCGAAGCUCUUGAUCGAAGCCCCGGUAAACGGCGGCCGUAACUAUAACGGUCCUAAGGUAGCGAAAUUCCUUGUCGGGUAAGUUCCGACCUGCACGAAUGGCGUAAUGAUGGCCAGGCUGUCUCCACCCGAGACUCAGUGAAAUUGAACUCGCUGUGAAGAUGCAGUGUACCCGCGGCAAGACGGAAAGACCCCGUGAACCUUUACUAUAGCUUGACACUGAACAUUGAGCCUUGAUGUGUAGGAUAGGUGGGAGGCUUGGAAGUGUGGACGCCAGUCUGCAUGGAGCCGACCUUGAAAUACCACCCUUUAAUGUUUGAUGUUCUAACGUUGACCCGUAAUCCGGGUUGCGGACAGUGUCUGGUGGGUAGUUUGACUGGGGCGGUCUCCUCCUAAAGAGUAACGGAGGAGCACGAAGGUUGGCUAAUCCUGGUCGGACAUCAGGAGGUUAGUGCAAUGGCAUAAGCCAGCUUGACUGCGAGCGUGACGGCGCGAGCAGGUGCGAAAGCAGGUCAUAGUGAUCCGGUGGUUCUGAAUGGAAGGGCCAUCGCUCAACGGAUAAAAGGUACUCCGGGGAUAACAGGCUGAUACCGCCCAAGAGUUCAUAUCGACGGCGGUGUUUGGCACCUCGAUGUCGGCUCAUCACAUCCUGGGGCUGAAGUAGGUCCCAAGGGUAUGGCUGUUCGCCAUUUAAAGUGGUACGCGAGCUGGGUUUAGAACGUCGUGAGACAGUUCGGUCCCUAUCUGCCGUGGGCGCUGGAGAACUGAGGGGGGCUGCUCCUAGUACGAGAGGACCGGAGUGGACGCAUCACUGGUGUUCGGGUUGUCAUGCCAAUGGCACUGCCCGGUAGCUAAAUGCGGAAGAGAUAAGUGCUGAAAGCAUCUAAGCACGAAACUUGCCCCGAGAUGAGUUCUCCCUGACUCCUUGA
rnacentral:rRNA from 1 species